AAGUGGAUCAGCAAUGAAGAACUGAACAGUGAUGUGUAGCUUCAUUCUUUUCUAACUCUAUUUGAUAUACAAAAGAAUCUCCAUGACUAUGCCUGCGCUGUUAUUGGCUUUAAUAAGGUGGUGACUGCAGUUUGUUCUGAAUCCUCACACAUCCACUAUAUCUGUAAGAAGGCAAUGGGAUAACUAUAAAUCCUCAAGAUGAGAAAAUUGCAGGCACAAGAACAUGCCUGGGUUAUCCAGAUGCCAACAAGGAUAUUUCUCUCUAUAAACAUCCUCAGCACAUGUACCCUCAUAUGCAUACAAACACAUACUCUUACGCAGGCACUCACAAACCUGUUUUCAUCUGAUCAUAAACAGCAAUGGCAUGAUCAUCAUGUCUGGUUGAACUACACACAGGACAAAUUCCAGACCUCUUUUCAUGUCACCACAGAGACCAACAGACAAACUUUCAGUGGGCAAGUGGUCUCUGAACAGAUGUUGAAAAAAAUGCAAAAAAUUAGUAAAACUAAAAUCUUCUUGUUAAAAAAAAUAUAAUAAACAAUAACAGUGAUUAACCUUUCA